UACGUAGGGGGCAAGCGUUGUCCGGAAUCAUUGGGCGUAAAGCGCGUGUAGGCGGCCCGGUAAGUCCGCUGUGAAAGUCGGGGGGCUCAACCCUCGAAUGCCGGUGGAUACUGUCGGGCUAGAGUGCGGAAGAGGCGAGUGGAAUUCCUGGUGUAGCGGUGAAAUGCGCAGAUAUCAGGAGGAACACCAAUUGCGAAGGCAGCUCGCUGGGACGUGACUGACGCUGAGACGCGAAAGCGUGGGGAGCGAACAGG
rnacentral:rRNA from 1 species